CAAAUUGGCAAAUUCUUCAAAGGCAAAUACAGUAGAGUCUCACUUAUCCAACACUCGCUUAUCCAACAUUCUGGAUUAUCCAAUGCAUUUUUGUAGUCAAUGUUUUCAAUACAUCAUGAUAUUUUGGUGCUUGAUUCGUAAAUACAGUAAUUACUACAUAGUAUUAUUGCAUAUUGAACUACUUUUUCUGUCAAAUUUGUUGUUAAACAUGAUGUUUUGGUGCUUAAUUUGUAAAAUCAUAACCUAAUUUGAUGUGUGAUAGGCUUUUCCUUAAUCCCUCCUUAUUAUCCAACAUGUUCACUUAUCCAACGUUCUGCCGGCCCAUUUAUGUUGGAUAAGUGAGACUCUACUGUAGUAAAAAUGUAUCCCUCACCUACACUAAUGACCAUUCAAUGGGUAAACUAUUGCCAGCUGAGGAGGGGCCAUGUUAUACACAUAUGUCAUAUAACUAUUAAAAAUGUGGAUGGAAAGACAACUCUCAUUCAACUUCCUUCAGAUGUGAACCCAGUCUCUGAAGAGCUUUAAUACUCACCAUUCUGGGCCUUAUGUACAUAUUUGUCAGAUUUGCUUGCUUGUCUGUUCUUUUAAAUCCCAAGAACUUUCCUUCCUGAACAUGAAGAAAUUUGUGACAUUUGAUAAAUUCUUAUCAAAGUCAAAUUGACAUGAAAUAUUCACCCAACCCAUUGUAGGUCACAUUUUAGGACCAGAAGUUCAUGCAUUGAGUCUUCUGUUGUCCCUCUCUUUGCUAUGACAUCUAAAAGUGGAAUCUUUUUAUUCAGAAGCAGCUGGCGGCAAAAUGUCAGGGACAAAUGACAAGGGAUGACGGAGGAAAACUGUCUGGAAAGGUCACAUGUAGGGCACAAGGGAGACAUUUAGUUGGAUGAUAGAUGAAUGAAGGCUGGGAAUGAUAGGGGCUUCUAAUGAAUGCCUGAAAGAGAGUGAUUGGAGAUCAUAUUUGGGGCAGGGAGGGGGAGUUAUCCUUCAUACAGUUGGAAGUUAGGGUCAACCCAAUGAAAUUGAUUGGCAAUAAAUUCAGGUCAGAUAAAAAAAGCACUUCUUUAUAAUUAUUUCUGUAUGGAAUUCACUACAAGAAAUAAUUGUGAACUGAUAGUGAAUGGUCUAUGCAGUUUUGAAAGUGGAUCAGAGAAGAGGCAUGUAACCAAUAAGCUUGUAGGAUCCACUUUGUUUUUCACUAGAGCCAUGAGAUUAACCAAGGACCAGGAAAAACAGUUGCUGAAAAGUUGGACCUUCUUAUAGAAUUAAGAAACAUGGGUGCCUUUUGCUCCCAUCCAGAAAUCUCAAAGUGGAAAGAGGAGAGCAGACGUGCUGGGCGCAUGGCAGCAUGGUGCACAUACACAGGCAAGGGAGAAUUCACAAGGUUGGAGGGAAGCUCACACCAGCAAAUGCCUUCAUGGCUGGGGGGAAGGCACCCAUGUGACGUGGGACUGAGAGGAGCCCAGCAGCAUCAGGAGGAGGCACAGCAGCAGAAGCAACUUAGCAUGUAGGUUUUUGAAAUUUUAGGAUGAAGGCUUGAUACGUGGCAACAAGAGUCAAGAAACAAGGUCCGUGGCGAGGUCCGUGGAAACAAGGAAAGCUGGAUGCAAGAACGAGGUCCGUGAAACAAGGCUUGGAACUUGGUCCUGGAGGCAAGGGACUGGAGUAGCGUAGUCCACACACAAUCUCACUCCACAAGGUGACGAAUUGACUCCGCAAGGAUUUCUUUGCGGGUAAACACCUAUAUAGGAUCUUGUUUUCCUGCCAAGGAACACUUUCCCUGGGAAACAAGAAACAAAACCCAUACUGUGUCCAGAUGCAUGACUCCUUAAAAUUUCCCAAGGGAAACAGGCUUAAUCAGCUAAUUGUCUGGCAGCAAUCCUGGCGCUUCUGCGAAUCGCCUCCUUAGCGCCUCUAUCUCGAUUAUAAUAAUCCCGGCGAGAAAAUGGGGGAGAUUUCUGCUCAAGGCUUGUUUGGCUGACUUCUUGUGGGCAAACAUCUUGCAGGUGCAAGGGCUCCAAUUCUGGCUGAAACGGUGGGAAACCCAAGUCUUCCUCUUCAUCUGCUACAAUAGUACUAGGAACGGGACUACAUGGCCCAUGAGUCAUCACACUAGCUGAUUUUCUUCUGAAAUUCUUUGAUGUGCUCCAUUAUUAAACUCAUGUUUGCAAUAUGA